UUCGGAUUAUUGGGCGUAAGCGUCCGCAGGCGGCCUUGUAAGUCUGUCGUUAAAGCGUGGAGCUUAACUCCAUUUCKGCGGUGGAAACUACAAGGCUUGAGUGUGGUAGGGGCAGAGGGAAUUCCCGGUGUAGCGGUGAAAUGCGUAGAUAUCGGGAAGAACACCAGUGGCGAAGGCGCUCUGCUGGGCCAUAACUGACGCUCAUGGACGAAAGCUAGGGGAGCGAAAGGGAUUAGAUACCCCUGUAGUCCUAGCCGUAAACGAUGAACACUAGGUGUCGGGGGAAUCGACCCCCUCGGUGUCGUAGCUAACGCGUUAAGUGUUCCGCCUGGGGAGUACGCACGCAAGUGUGAAACUCAAAGGAAUUGGCGGGGGGAGCACAA
rnacentral:rRNA from 1 species